GAAAGCCUAGAAACUAUCAUAGGAUGUAAAAAUAGAUGUGUUAUAUUUGUCCACGUCACUAUGAGUAAAACUUUUACUCCCAAUAAAACUUUUACUCAUGGUUAAAUGAGAGUAAAAGUUGUACUUACGGUGGGGUCGAUAAAUCUCAAACAUCCAUAUUUACAUCUUAUGAUAGUAUGUAGGUUUCC
rnacentral:pre_miRNA from 1 species